AUGCAUGCUCAAGGGCCAGCAAUUAUGUUAUGGGCUCCUGAGGAGAUCUGCCUGUGUGGCCAUACACGCACAGAGGGCAAUCUUCAAGAAACCAUGGUGAAUGGAAGCCAUUCCAGGAAGUUGGAGAUGGUAUACUUGUCAGGAUGUACAGGUCAGUUUUCCAAUAGCUGUGGUAUUUGUUAUAGAUCCUUGAAUGUGUACAUUAAUUAAGGCUGGUAUCCGUAUCCUAAAACUGAAAAAUAGUUAGAAUUAAUUUACUUGAAUGUCGGCACAUACACCCUCUGUAAUUUCUCAUCAGGGUGAUUAGUCUGAAGUUAAUUUCUACUUGCAAUUCUCACAGGGCACUGGCAUCUUUAUUUUAGCAUCAGAUUCCCUUUUUGUAAUGAAAGUGCCUGAGCAUGGUUAUAGCAUAUUUCCUUGAUCUUCCUGUUUUAAGAUGAUGACUAAAUAAAAUACAGAUUACUAGAUAAAAUAUAGUUCCAAUAUGUUGGAACUUUAGCCAGAUUUAUUCCCUGGGACUUUAAAUUAAGCUGUAUUUCCUAAAAUAUUUAUAAAUGAACUUUUGGAUGAUCAAAUUAAACAUUUCAAGGUAAAGAUAUUAAUAUUAGAGAACUACAAGAUAAAAAUAAGACACGGAGAGCUGCCUUUAAAAUAUACAUAUCAGGCCAGCACUAAUGAGAUAUUUUUGCAAUAAAUACAUUUUACAUGUGACAUUUAAAGCAGUUGAUUAAAGGAAAGGAAAGAUGGAAAGUUAGUAGGAACAGAGAUAAGAUUUUUAUUUGGCACUUUCUCUCCUUUCUCUUUAUGAUUGCAUUAGGGAGCUACCAACUGAGAGUGGUCCGAGAAGCCUUGCUUGUAACCUGCUGGGACACUCCCAGUUAAAAGAUUGCUAAGCUCUGUUGCCAGGGUCCUAAUGUUUCUUCCUUGUGAUGCUUGGGGGAUAGGAGAGAUGUUUUUAUUGGUUUGUACAAGUGCAGUUGCUUCCAGAAGACUCCUAAUUUGACUAAAGGGGGUAUCUGUGAAAAAGACAUGGUCAGGUAAGUCCUGCUGCACUGAAUACUAAUAUACCUUCAGUAGAGGCACAUUAUGCUUUUAUUUCUGACUGUACAUUGAAUUAUUUACACCUUCAAGGCAGCUGAUUGAACUGUAGCAUCAAGCAAUUAGCAAAUCAAAAAUUUAUAUGAUUCCAAUUUAGCAUGGACUCCUUCUCUCUCUCUUUUUUUCUUUUUAGAUUUCCACCCUGACAGUGACAAAUUACUCCUCUGCUGGCUGAGAUUGGAAAUUAAAAGCAUUUAGAGUUGCUCAUGCAUUUAUGCUAAUGAGAACUUCUGAUAUGAUUUGCAUGCAAAAGAGGACAAUCUGAAAGCUCAUCAGUUUUUCAUGCUUCCGCAUUUUGAUGUAGCAGAAUUUUUUCUGUUUUUCUGUGGAGCAAAAUUUUUUUCUCCAGGAAACAAUACCAAAUGUGAACAAAAAGAGUUCUUUUAAGUCAGAAAGUUCGUUUUUUUACCCUCCAGAUUCUUGUCAAAUUCGUUUGCUUGCUCCUUUAGAACUGCAGCCCACAUUCAUUAGCAUUUUAGAUGUUUAUCAAAGGAGGGAUCCAGUAUCUGCCACACAAGAUUAUAGCUCAGCUUCAUUUCCAAUUCAGCAAGGGAAAAAAAAAGACUCGGGGACAGACAAGAAGAGGGACAUGUACCUUCACAAUUUUUUCAUACGUACACCCGAAUUAAUCCCAUUUAGAGUAAAUUUGAUUAAUCGCCAAAGGUGGCAGUUUUAACUUUCAUUGAUGGCACUGACAAAUUUUAGGCAGGGUCUCAGCAUCAAAGUCCUCCACUGAUAUUUGUAUAAAAAAGGGCAACGUUGAAAAUGAAUACAGAAAACUUGAGGGAAAAAUUAAAUGAGGAAGGAAUGUACUCUCCAAAAAUUUUGAAAUGGAGUUCAUUAUUUCUAUAAAUAUGCAUUUAUUAAACCAUUAAGAUGGCAAAGGGGGAAUUGAAAGGAUGGGAAGUGUUUCAUUUUUAGAAUUUUUAUUUUUCUUAGAAAUUAGUCCCUCUCUUGGGAUUCUUCUAAUGUGGUAAAAGUUAAAUGUUAUAUUAUGAAAAUGUGGUUGAUGCUGUGGAAAUUUUAUUUUGCCAAAAUGAAUAUAUUUUGUUAAUGCUUUCAACUGCUAUCAUGUGGGGUCUUUAUUUAUAUUUAAUGCAGUGCAGCACUAUUUUGUACUGACUCUGUGAAGGGUAGCAUUCACCCCAUAAAUACACUGUCCACUCAAACCGAAAAGUCGGGAGGUUUCUUCUGCUUUAGAUGCACAUGAUCUUAUCUGCCUAAGAUGUUUUAAGGAUGAUUCCAAUGAAUUGCCUUUCUGUGCUGAAAUUGACCUUAACCAUGAAAGCAAUGGCAGUCUACGUGCCUGCUCAUAUCUGGUGCCCUUAGGCUGCUCUAACAAGAGAGCCCUAUGCAAUUAUAGCUGAGGAUGUUGCUGGUCUUUGGAAUCCAUUUGGGGCACUUUCUAUUUUAUCUGUUAGGCAGGAGUCCUUUCCUGCCCCUCCACCCACUUCCUCUUUCGAGAGCUUUGGACUUCCAUUUUGCAUUGUGAUUUAACUGAAAAUACGCAUUUCCAGUGUCCUUGGAUUUCUCCAAGUAUAAUGGGCAGGCAUUUCAUUUGGGGUAUCAUCUGAUACUGACAGACAACCUCACUCCAUGUGAGAGACUCUAGCUCUGGGUCCUCUGACUUUCCCUUGCUGCAGCUCAGAGUUCAGCUGGCCCCUUUACCUGCCACAAAAGGGGAUCAGAUUCAAUGAGAGUAGUUUUCUCUUUUGAGUCCGAGGAGUGCUAUGGACCAAAUCAUGUCCUCCCCCCAACAAAUUCAUAUGUGACUGUAUUCGGAGGUGGGGCUUACUAGGAAUUGAUGAAGAUUGAAUGUGGGCAUAAGUGCAUGGCUCUGAUCCAAUGGGAAUAGUAUACUUCUAAGAAGAGACACCAGACAGAGCUGUCUCUCUUUCUCUUUCUGUCACCUCUCUCCUUCUCCUUACCCCUCUCCAUGUGAGGACACAGCAAGAAGGGGCCAUCUGCGAGCCAGGAAGAGAGUUGUCACCAGGAACUAAAGAGCCUGGCUUAAUAUUAGACUUCCUAGCUUCCAGAACUGUGAGAAAAUAAAUUUAGUUUGUUUAAAACAUCCAUUCUAUGAUAUUUUGUUAUGGCAGCCUAAAUAGACUAAUAUAGAAAGAAGGAAAAGAAAUCUAUUAUUUCUAGACUUAGAACUUAAUGAUUUGCUGUGGUCUAUCUCAGGCUUCCUGAACAUGCUUUAACAUGACUGUCCUGUGAUGUAAACUUUUGAUCCAUUAUCCUCCAUGAGCAGUUAGUUUGGUGUAUCAUCUUUGUAUGGAAUUAUGUAAAUAAAUUUCUAAUGACAGGAAAUUCUCUUCACUGUGGAUGGCGGCAUGUACAAUAUGGAAAGUAAUCAGUUAGCAGCAUUUUGGCAUAAGGCUACUCCUACAAUCCAUCAGGCAUCUAUAAAUCCCACCCACUUGUUCAACCCAUACAAAGAAAAGUCUUUUCCACACACAUAUAGUAGACCUAUUUGUUGUCUUGGAGGACAGUUACAUAAUCUUAAACUCAGGAGUUAUAGGUCUUGACUCAGUGCUAGAAGGCAGGAGCAAGCCAGAGACAGAGCAGUAGACUCUAAAGCUAGAGUUUUGAGAAGUUGUGUAAAAAAAGACUAAGAAUUCUCUAUAGUUGGAAUAUCAGUCCUACAAUGAAAAUUAUUGAAAUUUUCUUGAAAAGAAUUCCUGUUUUUCUUUUUCAGGCUGUAUAUGUGAAGAAAAGGCUUAACAUCUUUUUAUUUACCUAAAAGUGUAUUGUCUUUCUUUCAAACUUCCUGAGAAAAGCAGGAAAAUUACAUUUUGGUGCUGCCAUACUGAUCCCAGG
rnacentral:lncRNA from 1 species